UCCAGGUGCAGGCGAAGCGUCCUCCCUGUGUUCCUGGAGGACUGUCCCAAGCCUCUCUCCAUUCUCCCAACCUCUCUGGCCUGGUCCCACUCCGGGUCUUGCCCAAGUCUUUCUGAUUGGUGGAACUUAAAUCACACCCAAAAUCCCAGCUGCAGGAGAGCUGAGAUUUCAUCUUUCCAACCUCUGUGUGCUGCAUGGGGGUUGGAGCACUUGCUGACAAGCCUUGCAACAACCAUUGACAGGAUGUCCUCCACCUUUUCAGUCUGAUUUGCUCUUUGCCAUGCAGACCUGUGGAUGAAAAGCCAGAGUCCUCCAAGGUGAAGCUGGACUGAAUAUUUCUGUCCAUAAGACUAUUAGAAUCCCCCAAAGUGGGAUACCAGUGAGGACUUCACCAGCAGCUGCUGUCUCUCCAAUGCAGGGCAAGGAAGGACUGUGCAUUGAGGGUUUCAUGCUGCGGUGGCUCCUCCGGUGUUUCAUUGAUGGGAGCACCUCAUGAAGCUUUCCUGGAGCACCAUCUGGGAGUUUCAGGAGCGACUGUUUCAGAGCUGGGCCCGGGAGGACAACGUGGUCCUCAGGAACCUUCAAAACUCCAUGAAGGAACUCACAAGGAAACACUGGGACCUGCCACCCCCAGUGCAGGCAGUCUGCACCCCAGAGCCUGGCCCAGCAGCACCCCGAAUGCCCUAGUCCACUAUGCCAACAUGGCACCCGGAGGCUUCAAGGCCCUGUCUGCCGCACCACACGCCUCCUGGAGGCCUCGUCCUGCAGCCUAGCCCCUGCCGUAGCCACAGCAGGCACCACUGCCAAGCGCCUUCCAGCCGGGCUUCCCAGAGGACA
rnacentral:antisense_RNA from 1 species